GCGAUCGAUUUUAUAAAGAGGAAUUCAAUAAUAACUAUAAUAAUGUAUUGUGUAGUAGUGCUUUAGUGCAAAUUUAUUUAUAAAAGAAAAAAUAAUUUUCAAUUCAAUCAUUUAUCAAAGUUUAAAGGACGAGGUAAACGCAUAUCUGCAUAUAACUGGAUAAUAAUAUCAUGACAAGAAGAAUAGAGCCGAUGAUGGCAGAAGAGCUAAAUAAUACCGAACCGAUCAAAUUAGUUAUCAUGAACCGAGUCGAUCAAAUCUGGAUAAACAAGAACAAGCAGAACCGAUAUAAACAAUCAAGAACAAAAAGAACAAAGCCGUUGAAGACAAAAGAAUCUAAACCUCGCCGAAUCGACGAAGUCAGCCAACCUAAACUGAGCUGAUCAAUCCAGGACAAGAAUAACUGAGCCGAUAAUGAAAUAUUUCUAAACUAGACAAUGGAUAAAAUAUAAAAAAAUUCCAAAAAAAAUAAAAUUAAGAAUAUUA